GACGAACGCUGGCGGCGUGCUUAACACAUGCAAGUCGAACGGUAAGGCCCUUCGGGGUACACGAGUGGCGAACGGGUGAGUAACACGUGGGUGAUCUGCCCUGCACUUCGGGAUAAGCCUGGGAAACUGGGUCUAAUACCGGAUAGGACCACUGCCUGCAUGGGUGGUGGUGGAAAGCUUUUGCGGUGUGGGAUGGGCCCGCGGCCUAUCAGCUUGUUGGUGGGGUGAUGGCCUACCAAGGCGACGACGGGUAGCCGGCCUGAGAGGGUGACCGGCCACACUGGGACUGCGAUACGGCCCGGACUCCGACGGGAGGCAGCAGUGGCGAAUAUUGCACAAUGGGCGCAAGCCUGAUGCAGCGACGCCGCGUGAGGGAUGACGGCCUUCGGGUUGUAAACCUCUUUCAGCACCGACGAAGCGCAAGUGACGGUAGGUGCAGAAGAAGGACCGGCCAACUACGUGCCAGCCGCCGCCGUAA
rnacentral:rRNA from 1 species